AGCGAACGCUGGCGGCAGGCUUAACACAUGCAAGUCGAGCGGGCAUAGCAAUAUGUCAGCGGCAGACGGGUGAGUAACGCGUGGGAACGUACCUUUUGGUUCGGAACAACUGAGGGAAACUUCAGCUAAUACCGGAUAAGCCCUUACGGGGAAAGAUUUAUCGCCGAAAGAUCGGCCCGCGUCUGAUUAGCUAGUUGGUGAGGUAAUGGCUCACCAAGGCGACGAUCAGUAGCUGGUCUGAGAGGAUGAUCAGCCACAUUGGGACUGAGACACGGCCCAAACUCCUACGGGAGGCAGCAGUGGGGAAUAUUGGACAAUGGGCGCAAGCCUGAUCCAGCCAUGCCGGAUGAGUGACGAAGGCCCUAGGGUUGUAAAGCUCUUUUGUGCGGGAAGAUAAUGACGGUACCGCAAGAAUAAGCCCCGGCUAACUUCGUGCCAGCCGCCGCCGUAACAC
rnacentral:rRNA from 1 species